AAACCAAAAAGAAAAAGAAAAACCCACAAAAACCUAACCUAAUCUGCACUCGCGUCUCUCCGCCUCCCGAAUCUCCCUACUCUCUUCUCUGUUAUGAAACCCUAAACGGCCAAGAGAAUUCUUCUUCUUUAUGUUUCCAGCGGCAAGAAAAUUUGACAAGGUAAUACCGUUUCGUUUAUUAUAUCAGUUUGUUUUGGGUUUAUUCUUGACAACAGAAUCAAUCACUUGAAGUUUACAUUAUUCGGGUGAUAACAAGAGAUGGGGUUCUCUCGCGAUUACAGGUGUUUUAAUAAGGGUUGGUGCCUAUCCAAUAAAAGUCUGAGAAUAGUGAUUAUAUCGAGAUAUCUCAUGUAUCCACUAUAGAAUGCAUCCACUGUAGAGGAACCUAUUAUCCAUUUGUUAUGAAAUUGCAGGAAAGAUGUGGGUCUAAUUGUGUCCUUAACUAAUGUCUUUGUUAGAACCAUUUUCCCGUUUGAAUAUCUUAUCAAAUGGUUCCAUUCUUGCGUAGGUAUUCAGAUUGAUCUUUUGUUAUACGUUAGUUGUUGAACACUACAUAAAGGAUUUUGUACAGGUUAUGGGAUGGAUGCUCUCCAGCAUGUGGUGGUGUUCUUGGCGCAGAAGCUAGGAACCUUAUUUUUUUGGAUCUAUGAAGUUGCAGCUCAGAUUGGAUGGAUGAUUCUUCAAUGUAACUAUCUACUUUCAUUUUGUCCAGCCGAAAAUCAAAUACAUUUAUAUUUUAUAGUUGCAAUAGGUUAAUUGGUCAGGUUACGACUCCAAAUGGUGAUCAUGGAUUCCAUGGAACCUCAAGAUUUGGUGCUGAGGUACUUAUGAGAGCUCUCUUUGCUGGAAUGUGCAUACUCUAGAUUUGAAAGAGAUACUACAAGUCUAGAACAUGCGCUUGCAGAUAUUCCUUUAGGAGAGUCCAUGAAGCGCGCCCUAAAAUACAUUUUUUUUUUCUUUUGUAUUGUCUGCACCAAAAGAACAAACGAGAAAAGAAAUUGGACGAGCUAACAAGAUUAAAUUAAAGAUUAGGUAAUAUUCUAUUUUGUGCAUCUGUUUGUGUUCAAUGUUUUUCGUUGGCUAAUAAAAUUUUUCAUUUUUGAUGAAUGAGAGGGCCAAUGGAAAUCAUAAGCAAGAAAUCUAUGGGAGGUUUAAGGAGGUAAUUCAAGUUCCUGAAAAGAUUAGGUAAUAUUGUAUUUUGUGCAUCUGUUUGUGUUCAAUGAAUUCCGUUGGCUAAUAAAUUUUUUCAUUUUUGAUGAAUGAGAGGGCCAAUGGAAAUCAUAAGCAGGAAAUGCAUGGGGAGGUUUAAGGAGAGUGGACCUCAGCGCUAUUGUGGAUAUCUGCAGCUUUUAAACUGUAAGUUGUUUACCAGGUAGAACUUAUUUUGGUAUUCGCUGCUUUUCCAAAGAAAUAAGGCGCGCAUAUCUGUGGAGCAGCUUGGCAAAUGAAAUGAAGAAGCCGUGUGUCAUAUUAAGGAGUAAGUUCAAAUGCCUAUAGGCAUCUGUUUCUAUUUACUCUUCUAUGGUUAGAGGGUCACUUUCUAAACCUAAUGUUCUUUAGGGUUCAUAUAUACAUUUAACUAGAGCUGGCAAACGGGCGGGACGGGGCUUGCCCGUUACGGGUUUCACGGGUUCGGGUUAAUACGGGUUGAAAUUCUUCACGGGUUGUCAUUUCUUCAACCCGUGCCCGUAACGGGUUGAACCCGCGGGUUCAUGGGUUAGCCCGCCCGUUUCAGAACUGAAGAUAAGGAAUUCACAUUGUUGCAGGUGAAGAAACAAGAACAGAUUUUCUAGAACAAUGCAAGAACAUGGGAAUCAAUGAUCAAGAAAAUUGAAAAACUUAACAACAGAUUAAUAGUUCAUUAGUUUGGCAGUGCCAAUGUUGUACCUUAAAAGGAACACAACACACAACACAAUUACACUUGCAGUCACAGUUCAACAAAGAAAAAUACCCUUUGAGAAUCGAGACCGUAGUAACUAGUAAUACCAUACCAUAGUUCCUGCACAAAAUAUAUAUUGUGGUUAAACCAAAAACUGAUAACUGUCCAAAAAAACAUCUCCAAUCUCUCUUCUAUACAAAAUUUGGAGAAACUGUGUGAUAACUGUCUGUCCAAAAAACAAUCUGUCUAAAGAACAUUCUCAUUUUCCAUGUCUAUAUUUGAGUUGCUCCAACUAAUCAUAAUGAAUCUGUCAUUUCAAGCAAAAAUAAAUCAAACAAAAGAAAAGAAACAAGUCAAAACAUGGAAUUUGCAUAUUUACCUUGAUUUAUAUUGAAGAAGUAUGCAACUACGCAUACUAAUUAGACGCAUAAGAACUUACUUUGCCAUCCUCCCCUACCUCAUCCUCCACUGCACCAACUUCAAAUCCUAAUACAUCUUCUCCAAUAAUCCCAUUUUUCUCAUCCAAAUCUGCUUUUCCUACAUGGAUAAAAACAAUCAAAGUUAAUAUGAAAUUCAGACAUUCAACUAAAUGCAAUUUAGGCACACUUACCAACUCCAAGGUCCCAAUCACGAGUUGUUAUCACCGCCUCGGCACUUUCAGGUAAUAAGGAACUCCGAAAUCGAUCAAUUACCCUUCCGCCAAUAACAUCAUCUGCCCUAUGUCCUUAGACUGACGCUCAGGUUGACUACCAAAUCUCUAGUUUCAGUUUAGUGAUGCUUUUGUAUUACAGAGGAUUACUUUGGCUCCAAUUUCUCUAGUUUCAGUUUCUUUUUUGAGAUGGUUGUUUUGCCUCACAACUGGAUUCUUUAUCUGGGAGCUGUCACGAUGAGUGUUGGUCGUAGCGGCUAGCUGGCUUGAAUUUGGUUGCAAUUGUAAAUUGCUUUCAACUUGCACAGGAAUAGAACGAGAAGGUUGACUACCAAAUCUCGAAGCCUGGAAUGUGGAGUUCUGAUGGUAGAAACCAGCACCCAUGAAUGGUACAGACCUGGUCGGUGGAGAAGAGAAAUAGCCAGACUGGUCUACAGAGACAGGUUGUCCAAUCAAGGCAGGUGGUCCAAACUCCAACCCUGGGCAUUUUGUAUAGUAAGUAUCAGCCGAAAGAGCACCAGGAACACUGCCCAGGUGUGCAAAUAAACUCUUCACGGCGUUCACAAACCCUGUGUUUUCCAUAACCUGCAUUCAACAGGAAACAAAAGAACGUUCUAAUUUGCCCAACAAGUGAACUGAUGGAUGGGGUUUUUCUGAUGUACUAAAUUACAAUUUACCAACCAAGAAACCCUAGUGAUUGCAAAUAAACAAAAACCCAAACUCCAUUCAUGAAAUUAAGCAAAUAAAUUGAUAGAAUUUCAUCUAAUAACCCAAUAAUAUAACAUCAAAUUUCAUCUUCUUACCUAGCCACAGUCCCUUCUUAAUUCAUCAAAUUAAGUACAAAACUAAACUCCAAACAAUCAAUUUUUACACCUGCAAAUAAUCUUUCUAUCUAUGCAAGUAUGCAACUAAAUCAUAACAAAUCAUGAUAAAAAGAAGAAGAACAUCAAUACAAAUCAAUUCAUGCUAUACAAAUCAAUUCAUGCUAUACAGAUCAAGAUCGAAGACCUAGAAAGCAGACGGAGAAGACGAAAGAAUUGUGUCCGUGAACUGAGGCUGCCGCUGCGGACGGAGAAGACGAAAUAAAUAGGAUUUUUUCUGUUUUUAUACCCAUGGCAGGAGAGGAGACACGUAUAGUAAAUGGGAGGGACACGCGGCAGAAGUGAAUGUGCGGGUUAACGGGUUAACCCGUUGUUUUACGGUCCGGACCGGGUUAACCCGUUUCUUGACGGGCCACUAUUUCUCCAACCCGAACCCGGCUUGUUUAGAAACCAGCCGAGCCGGGUUCGGGUUUUCACGGGCCGGGCACGGGUAAACCCACGGGUUUCAGCUCGGUUACCAGCUCUACAUUUAACGAUGGAAUCAUCGACAUCUACCGUAAAAGGUGUAAUACAUAUUGUGGCUUCAAUACCAGUUAUACACCGAUACCUACAUAUAUACAAGGAAAAGUAUCAAUUGGUUCGAAAA